CGGGAAACUGGGGAUAAUACCGGAUAUGUAGAGUUUCCUGGAAUGGUACUCUAUUGAAAUGUAUUCGUGCGCCUAAGGGUGGAUCUGCGGCAGAUUAGGUAGUUGGCGGGGUAAAUGCCCACCAAGCCAGUAAUCUGUACGGGUUGUGAGAGCAAGAGCCCGGAGAUGGAACCUGAGACAAGGUUCCAGGCCCUACGGGGCGCCGCAGGCGGGAAAACCUCGGAAAUGCACGCAAGGGCGACGGGGGAAACCCAAGUGCCACUCUUAACGGGGUGGCUUUUCUUAAGUGUAAAAAGCUUUUGGAAUAAGAGCUGGGCAAGACCGGUGCCAGCCGCCGCGGUAAUA
rnacentral:rRNA from 1 species